CAAUAGCGUAUAUUAAUGUUGCUGCAGUUAAAAAGCUCGUAGUUGAAUCUCGGAGAAGUUUGUAAUCUGGUCCGCCUCGAAGGCGAGUACCGAUUGCAGCUCUCUAUAUCUGGUAACAGCGUACUGCUGUGCUUAAUUGCGCGGUAGUUUCAGGAAGAGGAGACUCGACUUGAAGGUCGGGGAUGUUUUGGGGAGAAUGGAUUAAUCUCUGUUUUUCACGGGAUAACUCUGGCAAUGUUUUACCUAUUUUACUUUGAAAAAUUAGAGUGUUCAAAGCAAGGCGUUUUUGCCUAUUGAAUAUUGCAGCAUGGGAUAAUAGAAAAAGAUAGUCCGUCUUAUUUUGUUGGUUUUUUAAGUAUGACAAUAAUGAUAGAAGGGGAUGGUUGGGGCGGUCUGUAUUGCCACGUCAGAGGUGAAAUUCUUAGAUUGUGGCAAGACAAACAACUGCGAAAGCAUUCCGCUAGGACAUAUUCAUCAAUCAAGAACGAAAGUUGGGGGAUCGAAGACGA
rnacentral:rRNA from 1 species